UUGCCCUGUGGUGCUCAGAAUUGAA
rnacentral:piRNA from 1 species